rnacentral:rRNA from 1 species
AUUGAACGCUGGCGGCAUGCCUUACACAUGCAAGUCGGACGGCAGCACGGGAGCAAUCCUGGUGGCGAGUGGCGAACGGGCGAGUAAUAUAUCGGAACGUGCCCAGUCGUGGGGGAUAACACCGCGAAAGCUGUGCUAAUACCGCAUACGAUCUAUGGAUGAAAGCGGGGGAUCGCAAGACCUCGCGCGAUUGGAGCGGCCGAUAGCAGAUUAGCUAGUUGGUGGGGUAAAGGCCCACCAAGGCGACGAUCUGUAGCUGGUCUGAGAGGACGACCAGCCAUACUGGAACUGAGACACGGUCCAGACUCCUACGGGAGGCAGCAGUGGGGAAUUUUGGACAAUGGGCGCAAGCCUGAUCCAGCAAUGCCGCGUGCAGGAUGAAGGCCUUCGGGUUGUAAACUGCUUUUGUACGGAGCGAAACGGUCUGCCCUAAUACGGUGGGCUAAUGACGGUACCGUAAGAAUAAGCACCGGCUAACUACGUGCCAGCCGCCGCAGUAA